rnacentral:rRNA from 1 species
CAGUAGCCGCGGUAAUACGAAGGGGGCUAGCGUUGUUCGGAAUCACUGGGCGUAAAGCGCACGUAGGCGGACUUUUAAGUCAGAGGUGAAAUCCCAAGGCUCAACCUUGGAACUGCCUUUGAUACUGGGAGUCUUGAGUUCGGGAGAGGUGAGUGGAACUGCGAGUGUAGAGGUGAAAUUCGUAGAUAUUCGCAAGAACACCAGUGGCGAAGGCGGCUCACUGGCCCGAUACUGACGCUGAGGUGCGAAAGCGUGGGGAGCAAACAGGAUUAGAUACCCGUGUAGUCCCUGUCUCUUAUAU